UCAAAUUUGAAAUCUGCGUAAGCCGAGUUGUAAUUUGAAGAUGGCUACUUUGGUAAUGGCUCUUGUCUAUGUUCCUUGGAACAGGACGUCACAGAGGGUGAGAAUCCCGUGCGAUGAGAUGUCCAUUACCGUGUAAAGUGCUUUCGAAGAGUCGAGUUGUUUGGGAAUGCAGCUCUAAGUGGGUGGUAAAUUCCAUCUAAAGCUAAAUAUUGGCGAGAGACCGAUAGCGAACAAGUACAGUGAUGGAAAGAUGAAAAGAACUUUGAAAAGAGAGUGAAAAAGUACGUGAAAUUGUUGAAAGGGAAGGGCUUGAGAUCAGACUUGGUAUUUUGUAUGGCUUGCUUUCGGGCGGGUCCUCUGCAGUUUACUGGGCCAGCAUCGGUUUGGGUGGCAGGAUAAUAGCAUUGGAAUGUGGCUCUACUUCGGUGGAGUGUUAUAGCCUUUGUUGAUACUGCCUGCCUAGACCGAGGACUGCGUCUUUUGACUAGGAUGCUGGCAUAAUGAUCCUAAGCCGCCCGUCUUA
rnacentral:rRNA from 1 species